rnacentral:tRNA from 1 species
CCUGUAUCUCAGUUGGUAAAGAAUCUGCCUAUAAUGCAGGAGACCUUGGUUCAAUUCCUGGGUCAGGA